rnacentral:rRNA from 1 species
GAUGAACGCUGGCGGCGUGCCUAAUACAUGCAAGUCGAGCGAACAGACGAGGAGCUUGCUCCUCUGACGUUAGCGGCGGACGGGUGAGUAACACGUGGAUAACCUACCUAUAAGACUGGGAUAACUUCGGGAAACCGGAGCUAAUACCGGAUAAUAUAUUGAACCGCAUGGUUCAAUAGUGAAAGACGGUUUUGCUGUCACUUAUAGAUGGAUCCGCGCCGCAUUAGCUAGUUGGUAAGGUAACGGCUUGCCAAGGCAACGAUGCGUAGCCGGCCUGAGAGGGUGAUCGGCCACACUGGAACUGAGACACGGUCCAGACUCCUACGGGAGGCAGCAGUAGGGAAUCUUCCGCAAUGGGCGAAAGCCUGACGGAGCAACGCCGCGUGAGUGAUGAAGGUCUUCGGAUCGUAAAACUCUGUUAUUAGGGAAGAACAAAUGUGUAAGUAACUAUGCACGUCUUGACGGUACCUAAUCAGAAAGCCACGGCUAACUACGUG